rnacentral:rRNA from 1 species
UACGAAGGGGGCUAGCGUUGCUCGGAAUGACUGGGCGUAAAGGGCGCGUAGGCGGCAUGUACAGUCAGGCGUGAAAUUCCCGGGCUCAACCUGGGGACUGCGUUUGAUACGUGCAGGCUAGAGUGGGGAAGAGGGUCGUGGAAUUCCCAGUGUAGAGGUGAAAUUCGUAGAUAUUGGGAAGAACACCAGUGGCGAAGGCGGCUCUCUGGUCCACACCUGACGCUGAGGCGCGAAAGCGUGGGGAGCAAACAGG